AUUUUAUUGAGAGUUUGAUCCUGGCUCAGGAUGAACGCUGGCGGCGUGCUUAACACAUGCAAGUCGAACGGAGUGCUCAUGACGGAGGAUUCGUCCAACGGAUU
rnacentral:rRNA from 2 species